rnacentral:rRNA from 1 species
UACAGAGGUCUCAAGCGUUGUUCGGAUUCAUUGGGCGUAAAGGGUGCGUAGGCGGCGCGGUAAGUCGGGUGUGAAAUCUCGGAGCUUAACUCCGAAACUGCAUUCGAUACUGCCGUGCUUGAGGACUGGAGAGGAGACUGGAAUUUACGGUGUAGCGGUGAAAUGCGUAGAUAUCGUAAGGAAGACCAGUGGCGAAGGCGGGUCUCUGGACAGUAACUGACGCUGAGGCACGAAGGCCAGGGGAGCAAACGGG